UACGUAGGGUGCAAGCGUUAAUCGGAAUUACUGGGCGUAAAGCGUGCGCAGGCGGUUAUGUAAGACAGGUGUGAAAUCCCCGGGCUUAACCUGGGAACUGCAUUUGUGACUGCAUAGCUAGAGUACGGUAGAGGGGGAUGGAAUUCCGCGUGUAGCAGUGAAAUGCAUAGAUAUGCGGAGGAACACCGAUGGCGAAGGCAAUCCCCUGGACCUGUACUGACGCUCAUGCACGAAAGCGUGGGGAGCAAACAGG
rnacentral:rRNA from 1 species